rnacentral:rRNA from 1 species
ACGCUCGACACCUACGGGAGGCAGCAGUGGGGGAUAUUGCACAAUGGGGGAAACCCUGAUGCAGCAACGCCGCGUGAAGGAUGAAGGUUUUCGGAUUGUAAACUUCUGUUCUUAGUGACGAUAAUGACGGUAGCUAAGAAGAAAGCUCCGGCUAACUACGUGCCUGCAGCCGCGGUAAUCUGAGCGGGCUGGCAAGGC